rnacentral:rRNA from 1 species
UGGGGAAUUUUGGACAAUGGGGGCAACCCUGAUCCAGCCAUCCCGCGUGUGCGAUGAAGGCCUUCGGGUUGUAAAGCACUUUUGGCAGGGAAGAAACAGCCUGGGAUAAUACCCCGGGCGACUGACGGUACCUGCAGAAUAAGCACCGCUAACUACGUGCCAGCAGCCGCGGUAAUACGUAGGGUGCAAGCGUUAAUCGGAAUUACUGGGCGUAAAGCGUGCGCAGGCGGUUCGGAAAGAAAGGUGUGAAAUCCCAGGGCUUAACCUUGGAACUGCACUUUUAACUACCGAGCUAGAGUACGUCAGAGGGGGGUAGAAUUCCACGUGUAGCAGUGAAAUGCGUAGAGAUGUGGAGGAAUACCGAUGGCGAAGGCAGCCCCCUGGGAUGAUACUGACGCUCAUGCACGAAAGCGUGGGGAGCAAACAGGAUUAGAUACCCUGGUAGUCCACGCCCUAAACGAUGUCAACUAGCUGUUGGGGUUUAUUAACCUUAGUAGCGCAGCUAACGCGUGAAGUUGACCGCCUGGGGAGUACGGUCGCAAGAUU